rnacentral:rRNA from 1 species
AUACGGAAGAUGCGAGCGUUAUCCGGAUUUAUUGGGUUUAAAGGGAGCGUAGGCGGAUUGUUAAGUCAGCGGUCAAAUGUCGGUGCCCAACAUCGUCCUUCCGUUGAAACUGGCAGUCUUGAAUGCACACAGGGGAGGUGGAAUUCGUCGUGUAGCGGUGAAAUGCUUAGAUAUGACGAGGAACUCCGAUCGCGAAGGCAUCCUUCUGGAGUGCGAUUGACGCUGAGGCUCGAAAGAGCGGGUAUCAAACAGGAUUAGAUACCCUGGUAGUCCGCGCCGUAAACGAUGGAUGCGCGUCAUUGGGGCAUUAGUUUCAGUGACCAAGCGAAAGCAUUAAGCAUCCCACCUGGGGAGUACGCCGUCAACGGUGAAACUCAAAUGAAUUGACGGGG